rnacentral:rRNA from 1 species
AUGGGAGUCCCGAUCCACCAGAUCAAGUUCCCGCUGUCGCCAUCACCGCUUCCCCAGGGCGUCCCCAUCCAGCAGAUCAAGCUUCCGCCGUCGCCGUCACCGAUUCCAGCUUGGAUCACUACCCGCCACGUGUCGGCGAUGGUGAGGCUGCAGGCUGCUGCACGCGGCCUCCUAGCGCGUCGGCGUGUGCGGGAGUUGCGUGGUCUGCAGCUGCCGCUCCUCCCAGUUGCGCUUCGCUGCGCAAAGGACCUCGAUCUCGUCCACUGCGUCAGGGAUCUUGGGCAUGCUAUUUUCCCCACGGGCAGCGACCUCCAAGUCUGCAACCUUGGCGGUUGGGGGAGCGCACCCCUCCUCGUCAUUCUCCAUCGCAAGCCCCCCACUCUUCUCUGUGCGGUGCAGACCAACAGCCGUCCGGCAGGAAGAAGGCAUGGUGUCACCGACAACAACGCACCACGUAGCACCACUGCAUUCCGUCACCGGGCGCCGCAAGGGCGCCUCUGCUGGUCACUCUUGCGACCAUUUCCAGGUGGCCAUACACAUGCACUCCUUUUGUCCAGAUGGUGUCCAUGGGAUCCAGGUGGUUGUACGCGUGCACGUCCGACGUGCGGAUGGUAUCCACUUUUUAUUAAGAGGUCCAAAAUAAAUCAUCCCGGUCCAUUUCAGGUUGAGAGUAAUAAAACAAGCCGAGAUGUAAAAGGCUUGUUUUUAGGUGUUAGAUCUGUGUUGCGUCGAGUCAUGGUUAUAAGUUGGUUAGGCUGCAGCUCGAGGACAAGCUGCAUGUCUAGGUGGGUUGUAGUGUUAGAGUACGUAAUGGGCCUAAUGGCCUGGGCUGGCGGUAUAGCCCGUUAG